GAGCUGACUUUUCCUCUGAGCAGUGCCUGUUGCUGGCCAUCCUCCUACCAACUCUGAAUGAGGUGGGCACUGACUCUGCUUCUCUGAAGUGGCCCAAGCACAGAGAGGACAGAUAAGGAAAUCAAGGCCAGAGACUGCCUGACAUGACCCAACCUGCAAGUGGCUGAGGCAGGACUCCUCACACCGAGGCUGAUGCUUUUUCGUGAAAGCACACCUGGCCCACAUUAGCGAACAGCUUCCUGUCUGCCUCACACCCUGGAUUUCCAUCACCCUGGAUUAUCGAUGUAAACCAGGGUGAUAGCUCUGACCUCAGAGAGUGCUAGGAAGACAAGG